GCCUGCGACACCAGCUCCGGCCGCUACGGAAGUGGGGUUCUGUUGCUGCAGAGACGGCCGGCUGUCGCUGAUGGUUGCAGCGCGAGGACCAUGACGGGGAAGAAGUCUUCCCGGGAGAAGAGGCGCAAGCGGAGUGGGCAGGAGGCAGCCGCGGCGCUCGCGGCCCCGGACCUGGUGCCCGUGCUGAGCGGGAGCGCGGGUGGGUGCGGGAGCGUUGGCUGCUGCGGGGUCGCUGGCGGCGGGACGAGUGUGGCGGGCGGCGCGGAACGAAGUGAGCGCCGAAAGCGGAGGAGCACCGAUUCGUCCUCCAGCGUCUCGGGCUCCCUGCAGCAGGAAACCAAGUAUCUUUUACCAAGUCUGGAAAAAGAGUUAAUCUUGGCAGAGCACAGUGAUCUUGAAGAAGGUGGCCUGGAUCUGACUGUCUCGUUAAAACCUGUUAGUUUCUAUAUAUCAGACAAAAAGGAAAUGCUGCAGCAGUGCUUCUGUAUAAUAGGAGAGCAGAAGUUACAGAAGAUGCUCCCCGAUGUGCUGAAGAACUGUUCAGUAGAAGAAAUUAAAAAACUAUGCCAGGAACAAUUAGAGCUCCUGUCUGAAAAAAAAAUCUUGAAGAUUCUUGAGGGUGACAAUGGUUUGGACUCUGAUAUGGAAGAGGAGGCAGAUCGUGGCUCUAAGGUGGCACCUGAUUUAAUCAGUCAGCAAGAUACCUGUGUAGAUUCUACUUCAUCCCUGAGAGAGAACAAACAACCAGAAGGUUUGGAAUCAAAGCAAGAUGACUCUUUAGACCUGAGAAGCAAUUCUCUUUUAUUUAAAAUAUCUGCAAGUGUUUGAAUUGAUACUGGGCGACAGAUCCACAGAGCACAGGAGGAACGGCUGCUUCAUGCGCCAUCUGCUGACUUGUAGGUGCAGGCUGUCUCCGAAGACAUGGUAGAAGCUUGAUAGGAACUCGUACUUCUCUUUCGGAUCUCUCCAGCUUUAUUGAAAUCUUCUGUGCAGGUCCCAGCCACUCCAUGUCUCCAUGGCAGAUCAGAUGCGGGUGGCUGUCUGCGAGGAGAGUAUAGAACAUGGAGCAGAUUGUCUUCUUAGGUAAACCUUGGUUCUCUGAUAUUUCCCAAUAAUGACUACAUCACCUGGCCAUUAAGGCACCGCUGCAAACAGACAAACAAACAAACAAAAACAACAACAAAAAAACCACCGCCACCACCAACAACAACCAAAAAGGGCACCACUGCUCCAUAUUUUCCUCUUCCAAUCUGAGGACCUUUUGUUGGUUUUGUGAACCAUAUCCAUCCUCCUGGUCCUUUUGCAUGGCUGUUGUCCUCCUCCUCUUCUGAUCCUCCCGGUCUCCCCUUAAAUAUCACUGCCUUAAGAAUCCUUUCUGAUCUCCUUUCCUACAGAGAUCCCCUUACCCACUGCCCUGUUCAUUUCCUGACACUUUAAAAAUAGUUCUUCCUAGAGUGUUCACUUCAUUAUUUGCAACAGUAGUGUGCUCUUAAAGGCAAGCAGUAUGCACUCUAGAAAAUUAUUAGAUAAGCAAAUAAAGAUCUGUAAGAUUGCAUUUGAAAAAAAUUACCUGAAUUUUAAAAAGUAUGAGAAGCAUUGCUUUAAAUCAAUGAUUCUCAUUCUUCCUUAAUGCUGUGACCUUUUAAUGCAAGUUUCUCAUGUUGUGAUUACCCCAAUGAGAUUAUCUUCAUUGCUACUUCAUAACUGUAAUUUUGCUGCUAUUAUUAAUCACAAUAUAAAUAUCUGAUAUGCAAAUGGACUUAGGCAAUCCCUGUAAAAUGGUUGUUUAAUUCCCCAAACGGGUUGUGACCCACAGGUUGAGAACCACUGCUUUAAAUGAAAAUGUCCAUAAACCCAGGAGAUAUUGUUACACAUAUAAGCUCCUUGUGAUGGUUCAGUAAGCUGGCUGUAGGGUUCUGCACUAGAACUCACACUCAUGGAUGUUCUCAGUCUCCCUUUGUUUGCAGGUGCACACGGGCUGACACUCUGCAGAUGCAAACGUGCCGUUGAAACAAAGCAAGAGUGCUGUGUGGCUCCCAGAGCCUUGCCUGGGCCUGCGUUUCCUCCUCUUCCACUCAAGACUCACGUUAGCAGGGUUUUCCUGUUUCUAGACAACAGUCAUCAGCAUCAGAGAAGAAGGACUUGAAUUGUCUCUGACUUUCAGAACAGGGUUACAGACAACAUAGACAAACUCCGGGGAGAAUUUAUUGGAUGAAUAGUCAAAGCCUGAGAUCUAGGAGCUGGAGCAGUGAGCAGGUUGAUGCUACAAACUGGAUCCCGGGGCUCCCGAAGCCGAGUCUAAGGACCUUUCCUCUGCAGCUGACGCCUUCACGCCUGGUCUUUGGUGACUUGUCAUCAGCCCUCAGGAAGACAGGGCUGUGCCCUACAGCACGGACACCGAUAUCAUCAUUUCUCUGUAUCAGGCACUUCUCAGGCAAAGGGAAUGUUGGGAGAGGAAUGCAGUUUUUAAAGUUUUUUUUUAAAUUGAUAUAUUUUAUUUGAACUGUUAUAUAGUAUAGAAACAUUUUGUAGAACAGCAAAUGUUAUUAAUUUAGAAAGCGGUUUACCAUAAAAGAGAGACAUGGAAAAUAUUCAUGUGCUGGGCUGGAGGAGUGCUUGGCUGGUAUGUGUGAGGUCCUGGGUUCAAUCCCGAGGAAACCUCCUCCCCACAAAGGAAAAAAAAAAGCAGAAAAUGUUACAUGAUGACAUUUCAGAAUUCACUGCAAGUUUUUGAAGGUUCUGUGGAGGAUGAUUGACAUAAACUCCACAUAUUUGAAGGACAUGGUUUGGUAUAUUUUGGCACAUAUUGUACACAUCUGGAAAACUGCCACCUUGAUGAAGAUAAUGAGUUUACCUCACCCCUGGAUGUCUCCUUGUGCCUUUGCCUUUGUAUUCCUUCCCUGGCCUUGCUGUUCCUAAGCGCCUACUGUUUAUGUCCCCUGGAUUGGCUUGCAUUCUUUAGAGUAAAUAGGAUCAUACAAUG